rnacentral:misc_RNA from 1 species
GAUAAGAACGCAGCGAAAUGCGAUAAGUAAUGUGAAUUGCAGAAUUCAGUGAAUCAUCGAAUCUUUGAACGCACAUUGCGCCCGCCAGUAUUCUGGCGGGCAUGCCUGUUCGAGCGUCAUUUCAACCAUCAAGCCCUGCUUGCGUUGGGGUCCUGCGGCUGCCCGCAGGCCCUGAAAACCAGUGGCGGGCUCGCUAGUCACACCGAGCGCAGUAAUACAUCUCGCUUUGGGCGUGCGGCGGGUUCUUGCCGUUAAACACCCCCUUUUUACCAAGGUUGACCUCGGAUCAGGUAGGAAUACCCGCUGAACUUAAGCAUAUCAAUAAGCGGAGGA